UAGGGGGUGCUGAGAGGUUGGGGGAGCGCUGUGUCAUCCUCUCGCCUUUCAGGUGGGUCGGGAUGCUGAGGUAUGUCUUCUCAAACUGGAAGAUUUAUUUUGGUUCCUGGAUCUCUGUGGAAGGAGGUUCGAAUGGAGCUGACAACAGAGUCAACCUCUUCAAGGCAGGAGCAUUCUGGCAUUUCGCACAGAGGAAACAGAACAAAAUUUGCCCUCGGGCCCCGUUGAUGAUUCCUGGACCAUGGGGUCAGUAUCCAGACAGAGGUGGCAUCUCUACGGUUCUGUUAUCUCGGUCUCCGCUAUAAUCACCAGGCCCCACAAUAGCUGCUGGGCUGAGGCUCAUUUAAAGAAGCUUCCUGCGGAAUAAUGAGGGAAAGGCAGGUCUGUAAAUUCCCGCCUGCACCCGCCCAGGGUUCCAGAAGCAUGAGCAGCUCUAGGCUCCAGCUGGCUGUCCCCCUUGCCCUUUCUCUUGAAUUAGCAGGCACUUCCUCUAAGGCUACUGGCCUAGGAGGGUUUCUUGCAAACCCACUGGUCUGAGGGAACACAGAGAAGACAUCCUCUCAAGGCUGCCCAGAUGACAGCAUGUCUCUAAAAAUAUGCCUCCUGGUUUUUGAGUGAUUGAAGGCCCCACAGCCUUUACCACUGGAGUCAUUUGGAGCUCGUGGUGAAAGGACUGGCUUCCUCCUUGCCACCAUUGAAGCAGAAGGUGCGAGAAAGUACCCAAAGCUUGGGGCCGUGUCUCUAAUAGGCAUGGGUCAGUGGGAAGUUCAGCCUCACAGAAGGCCCCUUGCUGGUGCUGUUCAGGAGGACGUUGAAGUAGCAAAGCUGAGAUUCGCCCAUCAUGCUGAUCUGGUCUAUACCUAAACAGGAUAAGUGCAAGACAUUUAUUUACAGUUUGUCUAUGCUUGGGGCAGAGAAAAGACAGAGCUGAUCCCUGAAACCUGACUUUUGAUGUCGGUAAGUAACAAAAUGAGAGGAUCCAGGAACAAUUCCUGUUUCCCACAUACUUUCUUUCCAUCCAAAUCUGGAGAUUUUAAUGUGUUUGAUUUUAAUGAGGAGACUGUUACGUCCAAGGUGUGGACAGGAACCCACCCUUUUUUUCUUGCCAAACACGCAAGGAAAGGAAUCUUAAUUACAGAGAGGUCUACACUCUUGCUACUUGAAACUGGGUCCCUGGACCUGUAGCAUCAGCAUCCCUGGGAACUGGUUACACAGACAGAAAUCUGAAGCCCCACCCCAAACAUACAGAAUCUGCGUUUUAAACAAGAUGCCUGGGUGAUUCCCAUACACAUUCAGGUUUGAAAAUCCCUGAUCUACAAGAUAGGAAAACUGCCUAGUUGGUAAAACUUAGGGCACUGUGUUGCAAUCUGUGUUUUGUUUUGCAUGACUGAUUGAUGAGUAAUCAGUUUGUCAGCCUCUAUGAUUACUAAUUUAUGUCCAACAGCACACUCAGUCAGGGGCUAAGCCCACUCUACUCUACUGAUCAUUUCUAAGAAAUCUCCACAGAGCCCACAGUACUGUGAUCCCAUUUAAAUAAAGGACUUGCUCUCUGACUGAUGAGUAAAAGAUUCAUUCUUUUUUUUUUUUUUCCUAUUGUGGCCAAAUGUACAUAACAUACAUUUACUAUUUUAACCAUUUUUAAAUGUACAGUUCAGUGGAUGAAAGACAUUCCCACAGUUUUGCAACCAUCACUACAUUCCACCUCUAGAGUGUUUUCAUCUUCCCAAACAGAAACUCUACACAUGAAACAAUAACUCCCCAUUACCCGCUCCCUCCAGCCCGUCAACCUCAUUCUACUUUUUGUCUCUAUGAACUUGACUACUCCACAUACUUCAUCGAAGUGGAAUCAUACUAGACUCGCUUUUCUGUGAUUGUCUUAUUUCACUUAGCAUAACGUUGUCAAGUUUCAUCCAUGUUGUGGCAUAUGUCAAAAUUUUCUUCCUUUUGAAGCUGGAUAUUUUGCUGUAUGUAUCUAGCAUAUUUUGUUUACCAUUCAUCCAUCAAUGGACCUUGAGUGGCUCCCACCUUUUGGCUACUAUGAGUAAUGCUGUUACAAACACGCGUGUAGAAAGCUUCAUUUGUAGGCAGAGGCCGAGGCAGGCAGAUCUCUUGAGGUCAGGAGUUCAAGACCAGCCUGGCCAACAUGGUGAAACCCUGUCUCUACUAAAAAUUUAAAAAAAAAAGCCAGAUGUGGUGGCAGGGGCCUGUAAUCCCAGCUACUCAGGAGGCUGAGGUGGGAGAAUCACUUGAACCCUGGAGGCAGAGGUUACAGUGAGCUGAGAUCAUGCCACGGCAUUCUAGCCUGGGCAACAAGAGCAAAACUCCGUCUCAAAAAAAAAAAAGUCUUCAUUUAUGCUGGGCAUGCAGGUCCCCUCUUCCAGUUUACCAGCGUUAUUUUCUAGAGAGAUGCCACAACAAACAUAAAAUUCACAGUUAAUGGAUGCUCUCAAUGGAUUCUCUCUCUCUCUCUGUGUGUGUGUGUGUGUGUGUGUGUGUGUGUAUAACUUUUUUUUGUAAGUAGAGGCAGGGUUUUACCAUGUUGCCCAGGCUGGUCUCAAACUCCUGAGCUCAAGUGGUCUGCCCACCUCGGCCUCCCAAAGUGCUGGGAUUACAGGCAUGAGCCUCAAUGGAUUUUCUUUACUAUAUCAAGUCUCUAGUUGACUCCUCAUUAAGUAAAGAGAAUUUGCUGUUGUUGGGUGCAAAAUGUUGCAUUUAGUCUCCGUCCGGGAGUUGUGUCCUCCUGAAUAUAAACUCAGAGUCAGAGCCAAGAGUUUAAUUUGUGCAACACAAGUAUUGAUUGGGUGACACCAUUGUCUUCCCCAAUGCUAUUCCUAUCAACCCAAAUGAUCUGUGUGAAUAGAGAAAUCAUUUUUUUCCGGGUGUGUUGGUGACAGGCUGCUUGCUGAUAGGCUCUGACAGAUGAGCACUUGGCUGCUGUUGGGCAGUCAACACUGUCCUUGCUAGGGCGUUGCUGGGCAAAGAACCUGCGGCCCUGGAGCUGAUAAGCAUACCCCACCUCAGCAGUCCCAGGGCUCCAUGCUGAGUUCAGCAACCCACAGCAGAGCUCAGACAAGGGAAGAGGCUCUCAGCUUCUGGCAGCUUCUGGGUGAACUAUUCUUUUUUUUUUUGAGACAGGGUCUUGCUCUGUCACCCAUGUAGCAUGAUCUGGCUCACUGCAUCACUGCAGCCUCAGUCUUCCGGCUCAAGCGAUCUUCCUGCCUCAGCCUACUGAGUAGCUAGGACCACAGGUGUGUGCCACCAUGCCUGGCUGAUUAACAAAACUUUUUGCCAUAUGUAUCUAGCAUAUUUUGUUUCUCAUGCAUCCAUCAAUGGACACUUGAGUGGCUCCCACCUUUCAGUAGGACAUAGAGACAGGGUCUCCCUAUGUUGCUCAGGUUGGUGUUGAACUAGGCUUAUGCAAUCCUCUCACUUCAGCCUCCAAAGGUGCUGGGAUUACAGGCAUGAGCCACUGUGACUAGCCUGGGUGAACUCUUCUAAAGAAUUAUAUAGGCCAGGCGUGGAGGCUGACGCCUUAAUCCCAGCACUUUGGGAAGCUGAGGCAGGGAGAUCACAAGUUCAGGAGUUUGAAACCAGCUUGGUCAAUAUGGUGAAACCCCAUCUCUACUAAAAAUACAAAAAAAUUAACCGGGUGUGGUAGCGGGUGCCUGUAGUCUCAGCUACUCAGGAGGCUGAGGCAGGAGAAUCACUUGAACCCAGGAGGCAGAGGUUGCAGUGAGCCAAGACUGCACCAUUGCACUCCAGCCUGGGCGACAGAGCAAGACUCCGUGUAAAAAAAAAAAAAAAAAAAAAAUUAUAUAAAGGGUAUUAUCUGGAAUCUCCUUUCCUCGUGUUGCUUCAGGAAGCUAUGGGGAUUGUGUGCUUUUUCCCUCAGGCACCCAGAGGCCGCUCUGACACUCUCCACUUCAUCCCACAUUUUACCUCUGGGACAACUCUUUAGGUUGCCAGAUGUGUGCAAAGAUGAGAAGGAUACAAUCACACCAGCUCAUUUGGGAAAUACACGCUGAGACUCUGAUUUCAUCUUCUCUGUGGAAUGACUCUUGCUUUGCAAACUAAAGCUGGGUGUCAAGGCAGGAACUACUGCAGGUUCCCUAUUUCCAUGUUAACUUUGGCCCUCAAGGAUGAUUAACUUUAGAAACUGAAAACGCAUUUGGGCUAAUCAUUUAGGAGAUCUGACUAAGAGCUUUACAGAGAAGAUUUGCACCACUGUUAAGAAAGGCGCUAGCAAUUCAGGAGAAUGCACAUGUAAGGGAUUUCCUUUUACCGGAUUAGAAAGAAGAGCCAGAAAACACAGCUGAAGGCACACAAGAGAGGAAGAGGUGAAGACCUGCUGGUAGGAAUCCAAAGAAAAGAGUUUGUAUGUUGGUGAACACAUCUGAAGAAGUCCCACAAGAACCACUGUCUAAAAUGUAACGUGACAAAAUAACGUGUGUGCAGCCACAUUAACAGGUGACGUGUGUGUAGCUGCAAGGAUUUAAUGAAAGUCUGGAAACAUGCAUACAAGAAUUAAGUAUUUGUAGGUCGCUGUAUAGAAUUUACAAUUUGCCUCCUCCCAGAUUUGUCCUGCUCUGUCCACUUGGAAUGCCCUUCUCUGUCCUUUCCUUCCCCAUUAAUACAUGCUUAUCACCUUAUUCCAGAGCCAAGUGAAGUCUCACCACCUGUAGGAAGACUGCCCAGACUGACCCCUCUUAACUGUAAACAUUCUAUUUUAUUUUAUUUCUUUUUUGAGACAGAGUUUCACUCUGUCGCCCAGGCUGGAGUGCACUGGCACAAUCUGGGCUCAUUCAGCCUCCAGAGGCAACUUCCGCCUCCCGGGUUUAAGUGAUUCUCCUGCCUCAGCCUCCUGAGUAGCUGGGAUUGCAGGUGCAGGCCACCACGCCUGGCUAAUUUUUUUUUUUUUUUUUUGAGACGGAGUCUUGCACUGUUGCUCAGGCUGUAGUGCAGUGGCAUGAUCUCGGCUCACUGCAAUCUCCACCUCCUGGGUUCAAGCAAUUCUCCUGCCUCAGCCUCCCAAGUAGCUGGGGCUACAGGCAUGCACCACCACACCCAGCUAAUUUUUUUUUUUUUUUAAUUUUUAGUAGAGAUGGGGUUUCACCAUGUUGGCCAGGAUGGUCUCAAUCUCCUGACCUCAUGAUCCGCCCACCUCAGCCUCCCAAAGUGCUGGGAUUACAGGCAUGAGCCACUGCACCCAGCCAUUUUUGUAUUUUUUUUUAGUGGAGACGGGGUUUCACCAUGUUGGUCAGGCUGGUCUUGAACUCCUGACUUCGUGAUCUACCUGCCUUGGCCUCCUAAAGUGCUGGGAUUCAGGUAUGAGUCACCGUGUCCAGCCUCACCUGCCUAAUUUUUGUAUUUUCAGUAGAGAUGAGGUUUUGCCAUGUUAAUCAAGCUGGUCUCAAACUCCUGGCCUCAAGUGAUCUGCCCUCCUCAGCCUCCCAAAGUGCUGCAAUUACAGGCAUGAGUCACCGCACCCAGCCUCUUAACUGUAAUCACUCUUUUGCACCCUCUCCAAAUGUAUGUGUCCUGCAUGUCCUGGUGGAGCCCACAUGGCAUUAAUGACAUAUUUCUUGAUCGUUUUCAUGCCAAUUUCCAUAUGUGUGGUUUGUGUUCCUAAACCUGUCUACAAGCUCCUUGAGGUGGGGACUGUUUGGGAGGAGAAAGGGUAUGGUUUGUUUUUAUGUUUAUUUUAUUUUAUUUUUAAAGAUGGGGUUUCACCAUGUUGGUCAGGCUGGUCUUGAACUCCUGACCUCAGGUGAUCCGCCCACCUUGGCCUCCAGAUUGCUUGGAUUACAGGUGUGAGCCACCACGCCAGGCCUAAGGGUAUGGUUUGUUUGCUUGCUGUUGUUUUUGGCCUUUUUUCUUAGAUAUCCUAAAGCAGUGGUUCUUAUACUUCCACAAGCACAUUAAAUGCUUAUUACUGUUACAUGUUAUAUGCUUGUUAAUGUUACAUAUUAAAUGCUUAUUAAUGUUAAAAGCUUCUAACUAGAAUGCAGAACUGAUUUAGUAGGAAUGGGUUGGGCCUGGGAUUCCGCAUUCCUUCUAUUUCCUUCCCUUCCUCUUCCCUCCCCUCUUCCUUCUUCUCUCUCUCUCCCCGCCGCCCCUCUCUUUCUUUCACUCUGUCGCCAAGGCUGGAGUGUGGUGAUGCAAUCUCGGCUCACUACAACCUCUGCCUACUGCGUUCAAGUGAUUCUCCUGCCUCAGCCUCCUGAGUAGCUGGGAUUACAGGCACACGCCACCAGACCAGCUAAUUUUUUUGUAUUUUUACUACAGAUGAGGGUUUCACUACGUUGGUCAGGCUGGUCUCAAACUCCUGACUUCGUGAUCCACCCAUCUCCACCUCCCAAAGUUCUGGUAAUAGAGGUGUGAGUCACUGCACCCGGCCCCUUCUCUUUCUUUGUUUCUCCCUUUCCCUUCCUUCCUUUCUUUUCUUUUUUUUAAAAUCGAGUUUUGCUCUGUUGCCCAGGCUGGAGUGCAGUGGUGCAGUCAUAGCUCACCGCAACCUCAAACUCCUGGGCUCAAGCAACCCUCCCACCUCAGCUUCUCAAAGGAGCUGAGACUGCAGGCGUAUAUCACCGUGCCUGGCUAGAUUCUACAUUGCCAACCUAAGUCUUGCUGUUGGUUGGAGGAACACACUUUUGAGUAGCAAGGCUCUGUAACUCCCAGAAUAGUGCUUCAACAUAAACAAGUAAGACUUUUGGUAGUAUUUCCUAGGACCAUUCCUUCUCAGGUCCAAGCCCUUUAAGCAAAUUCUACCUUGCAAUAAGACUUUUCCUCUCUGAUCACUAGACUGCCCCCUAAAUUAAUUGAAGCCUGAGGACAUGCUUUUGUUAUACUGCAGUUGUUUGAAUUUGUGUUUAAAUCUAGGAAUACAAAUAGUUUCACUAAUGUAAUUUGAGAAGAUUGAUGAGUUAUUUUGGGUAGGCAUGGCCUAGCCCUGUAAUGCUAGGAUACUUUUGAUAAGCGCUACAGUUAUACCAGCUGACCCCAUAAAAAGGGAAAACGCUCUAGCCUGCAUAGAAUGCUGACAGCUGUAACACCCCCUUCUGGACUAGGGCCCUUUGCUUUUCCCCCAGGUGGGUUAAGGAGCUGGAAGCAGACACAAAGCUUUUAUUUUCCUGUGCCGGGUAAGUGUCUGUUUCCUGUGGAAAGUCCCACUUCAUCAGAGGCAAAGAAUUCCCUCUUAGUUUCACCCUGAAACUAGGAAAAUUAGUCUUUAUCCAUAUUGAUAGGCUUCAAUAAAUGUUUUUCUAUUUUCUUUUAAAUAGAGACAGGGUCUCGCUAUGUUACCCAGGCUGGUCUCACUUGCCCACCUGGGCUCAAGUGAUCCUCUCACCUCAGCCUCCCAAAGUGUUGGAAUUGUAAGCAAGAUCCUAGCCAAUAAAUGCUUUUUAACUGGGAAGGACGGACCAGAAGGAUAAGCUGGCACUAAUGAAACCAGAAAGACGCUUGGCUGGACUCCUAACAUGACGCCAACAAGAGGAAUGUCAAGGCCAGCUGCCAUGGCUUACGCCUGUAAUCCUAACACCUGGGGAGGCUGAGCUGGGAAGAUCACUUGAGGCCAGGAGUUUGAGACCACUCUGAGCAACAUGGCAAAACCCCUCCCACUGCAUCUCACAAAAAAAUUAACAAAUUAGCCAGGCCUGGUGGUGCACAUCUAUAGUCCCAGCUACUCAGGAGGCUGAGGUGGGAGGACUGCUUGAGCUUGGGAGUUUAAGGCUGCAGUGAGCUAUGACUGCACCACUGCACCCCAGCCUGGGUGACAGAGCGAAACCCGAGGAGAGUCAAGCCUCUCAGGGCCUUGGUUUACUUAUCUGUAAGAUCAAGAUAUUGGGCUGGAAGAUUACUAGCAGCCCUAAAAUGUCAACUAACCAACUUAGCAGGAGAAAGGCAAAGAGACAAGAUUCCACCGCUGGCUACUUGACAGCACAAUGUGACUGGAGCCUCUUGGCUAACUUGUAUUCUCUCAUCUCAGCCCAAAUGCUUGCCCUGAUAUGGUACUAAGUUAACCCUUUCUAGAAAAUGUGGUGCCUCACAUCCGCCUGCCUGACGUAGAAAGACCUGAAAAGACACGCCCUGUGCUGCCACCUAGUGGUUUCUCUUCUAUCAAGGCAGAGUAGAAUCUUGCUUUCUGUUCUCCAUCUACCAAUUAGGAGGGUCUAAUAGGAGAGACUAAAAAGAGUGCCCUUCCAGGUGUCACCGCUUUAAGGGAAUCAGGGACUAUGAUGAAGAUCUACAAGGCCUUCUAAACUUUAUAAUUUCCUCUGUAUUGUUAUUUCUUGUCUGUUUCGCCGCAGCGAAACUCUAAAAACAAAAACGACCAAGAUUGUUUUUAAGGUCAGCAAGGAAGCAGGGAACUGGGGAGAGACAGCACCCUAGGGUUUAAGGUAAACAUCACCAGGAGAUGGAGUGGGUGGAAGGAGCUGAAUAGCGGAAAGGAAAGAGGGUGAAGUCCUCAGACUUGUUUGAAAAAGGAAAGAGGGGGUGGGAGAAUGAAUUGCCUUUUAGCUGGAAUGAAAGUCAUCAUCUUAAAAGCAUUGUCAUGCUUUCCUGUUUUGUCUUCAGAGGCACCAGGCUGUUUUCAAGGCUGGAAAAUGAAGCAAAUGUAUGGGUUUCAGCUACUGUUGCAGUUCAGGGGCCUUUGUAGCAAAUGAUACUCCCUUAGAGUAAGGAUUCGAAUACAAGUCUAUAGAAAGGCCAUGCACAUAUGGUACAUGGAUGGAGGCAGCCAGAGGUGAGGCUGUUGGGAGUGGUGGGGACUGUGGUAAAUAGGAGCGAACUCACUCCAUCUAAGGAAGCAGCAGCAACCAGUCCCUAGUGAUUAUGGGCCUAGCCAAACUGUGUCCCCACAUUGGUAGAUCUUUCAAAUUUUCAGGAGAAUCUGGAAACCUGGAUUAUUAUGUGAAGUCACCUUAUUUUUCAAUGUUGGCAGCUAAUGUUGCUUAAAAACAAAUAGGACUCUGUGAGGGUGGCCAAGAUGAACUUGUUUUAGGUAGCAAACAUCUUCUGCCAACAAACUAUCCAAAAUGUGUUUUAAAAUGUAUAAAUAGGGCUGGGCGUGGUGGCUUACCUGUAAUCCCAGCACUUUGGGAGGUCAAGGCUGGAGGAUUGCUUGAGCCUAGGAGUUCAAGACCAGCCUGGGCAUCAUAGUGAAACCCUGUCUCUACAAAAAAUACAAAAUUAGCCUGGCAUGGUGGUAUGUGCCUAUAGUCCCAGUUACUUGGGAGGCUGAGGUGGGAGGAUUGCUUGAGCCCAGGAGGUGGAGGCUGUAGUGAGUCAAGAUGGUGCCACUGCACUCCAACCUGGAAGACAGAAGGAGACCCUGUCUCAAAAAAUAAAUAAAUGAAAAUAAAUUAUACAUAUAUAACUAUAGUCUACAUUUUAGAGUUAAAAAAUUUUUUUUUGAGAUGGAAUCUCAUUCUGUUGCCCAGGCUAGAGUGUGGUGUCAUGAUCCUGGCUCACAGCAACCUCCACCUCAUGGGUUCAAGUGAUUCUCCUUCCUCAGCCUCUCAAAUAGCUGGAAUUACAGGCACCGCCACCACACCCGGCUAAUAUUUGUAAUUUUUUUUUCUUUUCUUUUUUUGAGAUGGAGUCUCACUCUGUCACCCAGGCUGGAGUGCAGUGGCAUGAUCUCGGCUCACUGCAACAUCUGUGUCCCAGGUUCAAGCGAUUCUCCUGCCUCAGCCUCACAAGUAGCUGGGAUUACAGGUGUGAGCAACCGUGCCCAGCCUAAAUUUUGUAUUUUUAGUAGAGACAGGGUUUCACCAUGUUGCCCAGGCUGGUCUUGAACUCCUGACCUCAUGUGAUCUGCCCACCUUGGCCUCCCAGAGUGCUGAGAUUAUAGGUGUGAGCCACUGCACCCGUUUGUAUUUUAGAGAUUUAUGUCCUCUAAACUCAUCAUGUUUUGUGACAUAUAUAUUAGAUUAUUACAAAGAUCUUUCAAACACCGGAGCUCCCACUUGCCAAAUUUAGGACAAAAUUUGAUGUAUUUUGUACAUCAAAAAAUAAUGGAUUAUAACAUGUUAAAUGAAAUGUAAAAGCUCUAUGAAUUCACAGUGAGUCAGAAGCAUGCCAGCUAAUAAAUGCAGACAAAUGAUAGAAUUUGAGUUUGUAACUGCCAAUGUAAUAAUUGAUUCAGUCUAGCUAUCAUCAAUGGAUGAUAAAAUCACCGAAACAACAUUGGAGAAUAGGAUAAUUACAUGGUUCCAAAGUUGCACCCGGCAGAUCAAUUAAUAAAUUCAGGCUGGGUGUGUUGGCUCACGCCUGUAAUCCCAGCACUUUGGGAGGCUGAGGUGGGCAGAUCACCUGAGGUCAGGAGUUCGAGACCAGCCUGGCCAAAAUGGUGAAAUCCCAUCUCUACUAAAAAGACAAAAGUUAGCAGCUGUGCUGGUGCAUGCUUGUAAUCCCAGCUACUUGGGAGGCUGAGGCAGGAGAAUCGCUUGACCAGGGAGGUGGAGGUUGCAGUGAGCCAAGAUUGUGCCACUGUACAUCAGCACUCCAGCCUGGGCAAUAGAGUGAGACUCCAUCUAAAAAAAAUUAAUAAAUUCAAAGGGAAAAUGUAUCUGGUGGAUACCCUCUUAACCAAGCAAACUUGAUAUCACUAAUAGUCAAACAAUGGAUGGUCUCCUGUUACAAUGCGCUAAGAGAAACACAACCCCCUAUGGAGAAUUCUGCUGGAAUUGUUUUACCUGAAAAUAAACGUAAGGGAACAAUCAAGGAAAUUCAGAAUCUGGAAAACUCUGCAAGAUAACUUACCUGGAUUCUAAAAAGUUCAAUGUCAUGAAAAAUACCAAAAGGUGGGGAUUUUUUGAGACGAAGAGAGACCAGGGAGAUAACCAGAGACCAUAUGUAAACCUUGAGCGGAUUCUGAUGGAAGUGGGAAAGCCUGCUGGAUAAGACAAUUUAAGAUCAUUGGCAAUAGUAUGUUAAAUUGUCUUCUUGAAUUAAUGUUAAUUUUUUUAGUUGGAUAGUAGUGAGUGUUAUUGUGGUUAUUUACUAGAAUGACCUUUUCCUAGAGAUCCAUAAUGAGAUAUUUAGGGGUGAGGUGUCAUGACAGCUGCAUCCUACCUUUAAAAAAGUGUGCUCUAGCCAGGCAAGGUGGCUCAUGCCUAUAAUCCCAGCACUUUGGGAGGCUGAGGCAGGUGAAUCACAAGGUCAGAAGUUCGAGACCAGCCUGGCCAACAUGGUGAAACCCCAUCUCUACUAAAGAAACAAAAAAUUAGCCAGUCAUGAUGGUGCACACCUGUAAUCCCAGCUACCUGGGAGGCUGAGGCAGAAGAACCCAGGAGGCAGAGGUUGCAGUGAGCUGAGAUCACACCACUGCACUCCAGCCUGGGCAACAGGGACUGCACUCCAUCUCAAAAAAGAAAAAAAGGGCUCUGUGUGUGUAUAGCAGAAUAUGUGGUGAAAUGUUAAUGAUUGGUAAAACCAUGUAAAAGGUUUAGGAUGUUUAUUGAACUAUUAUUCCAGCUCACUUGGAAGUUUAAAACUUUUCAAAAAGAGAAACUUCAUACUAUGCCUUGGAAUUUUAUUGUAACUGUUAUUCUAGUAGAUAUUAAAAUGUACUAGCUAGCCAUCCUGACACAGACUCUAGAUGUCACAUAAGCAUUAUUCAGUAAAGAUGAUUUGAGUCUGGCCUACUACAAGCUAGACAUGAUUUUAGGCAAUUAGGAUACUCGAAUGAACAAAAUAGAGAUCUCCGGUCCUAUGAAGCUUAUAUUCCAGUGGGGAGAGACAGACAGACAGACACAAUGAACCUAAUAAGUAAAUUGUGGGAAAAACAGUCAAGUAGGAGUUAGUGGACAAUUUGGGAAAUAUUAAAGUGGAGACUUAGAUAAAUAAAUGAAAGGAGCACAGAGAUUGAUUUAAGGGAUAUUGAGAUUAUGUCCAAAUUUUCUAUUAUUGUAGAAUAUGCUGGUUUGGUUUCACCUAAAGAAUUCUGCACCUUUUAAUCACACAAAGCCAUUUCAGUUGGAUUGCAGGCACACCAAUUCUGAAUCCCAGUUAGGAAUAUACUGAUUUCUCUUUCACUUUCUACUGAAUCCCAACUAGGGUGACCAGGUGUCCUGGUUUGCCCAGGACUAAGGGGUUUCCCAGGACAUGGGACUUUCAGUGUUAAAACUGGGACAGUCCUGGGUGAACUGGGAUGGGUUGGUCACCUUAAAACUGCCAGUUGCCACUUGUGUGACUUUGAGUAAAUUAUUUAGCUUCCAAGAGCCCUAAUUUCCUCAUCUAUAAAAAGGACAUUACACAAAUACAUAUGGUAGGCAGAUCACUUGAGGUCAGAAGUUCGAAGCCAGCCUGGUCAACAUGGUAAAACCUCGUCUCUCCUAAAAAUACAAAGAUUAGCUGGGUGUGGUGGUGGACACCUGUAAUCCCAGCUACUAGGGAGGCUGAGACAGGAGAAUCGCUUGAACCUGGGAGGCAGAGGUUGCAGAGAGCUGAGAUUGCGCCAUUGCACUCCAGCGUGGUGACAGAGCAAAACUCCAUCUCAAAUAAAUGUGACCUCCAAUGUUGGGAGGUCACUGGAGGGCCCUCCUUAGUUGGAGGUGUUUGGGUCAUGGGGGGCAGAUCCUCCAGAAUGGUUUGGUACUGUUUUCGAGGUAAUAAGCAAGUUCUCACUCUAUGAGUUCACUCAAGAUCUGGUGGUUUGGGGGAGCAUGGCACCUUUCCAGUCCUUGCUCAUUCUCUCACUGCAUGAUGUGCCUGCUCCUCCUUCACCCCUGCCAUGCUCAUAAGCUCCCCAAGGCCCUCGCCAGAAGCUGAUGCCAUGCUUCCUGUACAGCGUGCAGAACCUUGAGCCAAAAUAAACCCUUUUUCUUUAUAAAUUACCCAGCUGCAGGUGUUCCUUUAUAGCAAUACAAACUAACAUACCAUAUAAGCUAGCACAUCCACUCCUAGGUAUAUACCUGAAAAAGCAAUAAAAACAUGCUGACACAAAUACUUGAGAUGAAUGUUCAUAGCAGCAUUAUAAUUUUUUAUUUGAGACAGUGUCUUGCUGUAUUGGCCAGGCCAGAGUGCAGUGGUAAAAUCAUGGCUUACUACAGUCCUGACUGACCUUCUGGGUUCAAGCAAUCCUCCCACCUCAGCCUCCCAAGUAGCUGAGAAUAAGGCCCAUGUCACUGAGCCAAGCUAAUUAUUUUUUUUUGAGACAGAGUCUCACUGUGUUGCCCAGGUGGAGUGCAGUGGCACGAUCCUGGCUCACUGCAACCUCCACCUCCCAAAAACAAGCGACUCUCCUGCCUCAGCCUCCGGAGUAGCUGGGACUACAGGUGUGCACCACCACAUGUGGCUAAUUUUUGUAUUUUAAAUAGAGAUGGGGUUUCACCAUGUUGGUCAGGCUGGUCUUGAACCCCUGACCUCAGGUGAUCUGCUCGCCUCAGCCUCCCAAAGUGCCGGGAUUACAGGUGUGAGCCACCGUGCCCAGCCCCAAGCCCAACUAAUCUUUUACUUUUUGUAGAGAUGGUGUCUCACGAUGUUGCCCUGACUGGUCUCAAAUUCCUGGACUCAAGCAAUCCUCCUGUCUCAGCCUCCCAAAGUGCUGGGAUUACAGGCAUGAGCCAUUGUGCCUGGCUUCAGCAUUAUUUUAUUAUUUUUUUUGAUACAUCAGAUGCAUUAUUCUUUUUUUAAAAUUUUUUAAUUUUUUUUUUUUUUAAGACGGGGUUUCACCAUGUUGGUCAGGCUGGUCUUGAACUCCCGACCUCAGGUGAUCCGCCAGCCUUGGCCUCCAAAGUGCUUGGAUUACAGGCAUGAGCCACCACGCCUGGCCUUAGAUGCAUUAUUCUUAAUAGCUAAAAACUGUAAAUAACUCAAACAUUCAUCAGCUGGUGAAUGAAUUCAUAAAAUGCAGCAUAUCCACGCAAUGGAAUAUUAUUUGGCAACAAAAAGAAAUAGAAUACUGGUGGUACAAUAUGGAUGAACCUUAGAAAUAUUAUGCUAAGUGAAAGAAGAUAGUCACAAAAGAAUAUUGUAUCAUUCCAUUUGUAUGAAAUGUCCGGAAUAGGCAAAUCCAUGGAGACAGAAAGUAGGUUAGUGGUUUCCAGGGACUGGGAGAAAUGGAGAAAAUGGGUGUGACUGCUAAUGGGUAUGGGGUUUCUUUUGGGAGUGAGAAAAUGCUCUAAAAUGUAUUGUGGUAUUGGUUGCACAACUCUGUGAAUAUAAGAAAAACAAUUGAAUUGUACACUUUAAAUGAAAGAGUAAUGGUAUGGUAGGCAAAUUAUGUUUCAAUACAUCUGUUAAACAAUAGAGAAAAAAUAUUUUAGAUUAAAAAAAAGAUUAUAAUGUCUGUGUGAGGUCUAAAUGAGUCUUUGCUCUCAAAAUGCCCCCAGGGUCCUCCCCCAAAACAUAUUAAUCGCACCAAAUUAUCAUUGUGUAUGUCUUUGUCUUGUCCACUGAACUGAGACCCCUGGGAUGACAGAAACUUCCUUUUUUUGUUUUUAUUUUUUUAGAUGAAGUUUUGCUCUUGUUGCCCAGGCUGGAGGGCAGUGGCACUAUCUCAGCUUACUGCAGCCUCCGCCUCCUGGGUUCAUGCGCCACCAUGCCCAGCUAAUUUUGUAUUUUUAGUAGAGACGGGGUUUCUCCAAGUUGGUUGGGCUGGUCUGGAAUUCCAGAACUCAGGUGAUCUGCCUGCCUUGUCCUCCUAAAAUGCUGGGAUUUCAGGCAUGAGUCACCUCACCUGGCAGAAACCUUCUUAUUCAUUCAGGGUUAGCCCAGUGUGGUGAUGCAUGCCUAUAGUCCCAGCUACUUAGGAGGCUGAGGUGGGAGGAUCGCUUGAGCCCAGAAGUUAGAGACUGCAGUGAGCUAUGAUCAUGUCACUGGACUCCAGUUUGGGUGACAGAGUGAGACCCAGUCUCUAAAAAUAGUAGUAAUAAUAAAAAUUCAAAAUAGGCCGGGCACUGUGGCCCAUGUCCUUUGGGCAGGCCUCAGAACAGAAGUUCAGUAGGCUUAGAACUCGAAGGAGGAAGGAGGCAAUGAAAUUCUAUGAAAAGAGAAGUCAGCAAAGGGUAAUAUAUUGUGGAUCAAGAAGGGAGGGCCAGUUACUAAAUUCCCCAUGGCAGGAGCGGGCAGCCAACUUCAGCAAUGGCGGUACCUGUUAAACACUUCCGUUAUCCAGAAUAGGCCGGGCACAGUGGCUCAUGCCUGUAAUCCCAGCACUCUGGGAGUGGAUCACUUAAGGUCAGGAGUUUGAGACUGGUCUGGCCAACAUGGUGAAACCCCGUCUCUACCACAAAUACAAAAAUUAGCAGGGCAUGGUGAUAUGCACCUGUAAUCACAGCAGGAGAAUCGACUGAACCCAGGAGAUGGAGGUUGCAGUGAGCCAAAGAUUGUUCCACAGCACUUCAGCCUGGGUAACAGAGUAAGACUCCAUCUCAGAAAAAAAAAGACUGAUCAGGUUUCUGUUCUCAGGGCCUUACAUUAUAGUGAGGGAAACAGAAAAAUAAACAGAUGAUAUAUAGCAAUAAUUGCAUUGUAAAUCUUUCAAGUAGGUUGAUAGGGAUAGCACUCAUGGCUACUUAAGACAGGAUGGCCAGGAAAGGCCUCUCUGAAGAGGUGACGUUUAUGUGGAGGUCUGAAUACUAAUCAGCAGAUAGGCAAGUGAAGAUCUGGAGUAAAGAGCAUUCUAGGGAAAGAUCUUUGUCAGUGAAAAGGCCCCCGGGCUGGAACAAGUUUGGCUUGUUCAAAGAACCCGAUGGCCAGCUGGCUGCAUCACGUCAUGGGGGAGGCUGGGAGCAGGCACUGGAAAGCCAGAUUGAUUUUUACCCAUGAAGCAAAUGAAAUGGUAUUUGUAACACGGCAACCAAAAAGUCAGAAGCUACAGACUUCUGACUUGAAUAAGAAGGGUACCUUCUUUGAAAAUUUCACAUUUAUUUAUUUAUUAAGGAACUGUAAAAAUUUCAGAUUAAAAAUUUGUAGAAUAUCAGCACCAUAAGACAGGGUGAAGGCUGGGCGCAGUGGCUCAUGACAGCAAUCUCAGCACUUUGGGAGGCUGAGGCAGGUGGAUCACCUGCUGUCAGAAGUUUGAGACCAGUCUGGCCAACAUGGUGAAACCCCGUCUCUACUAAAAAUACAAAAUUAGCUGGGCGUGGUGGCAUGUGCCUGUAAUCCCAGCUACUCAGGAGGCUGAGGCAGGAGAAUCACCUGAACUUGGGAGGCGGAGGUUGCAGUGAGCCGAGAUCAUGUCACUGCACUCCAGCCUGGGAGACAGAGUGAGACUCCAUCUUAAAAAAAGAAAACAAGACAGAGUGGAAAAAAUCAGUAGAAUAUAAAACAAAAGUGAUGAAGAUACGUGAUUAAAUCAGUAGUAAAUACUCCGACAUCAAGAAAUGAAUUAAAAACAAAAAUUUCAGAUUCUACAGAAAGUAGCAGUAUUAAGAGGAAGAGACAAAACUUGAGUAGAGGUUAUAAAUCAAUUUCUAGCUUGCUGGAUAAUACCAUCAAUGAAGAUGAGGGGAACAUAGGAACCCAUAAGAUAAAGAUUUUGAGUUCUUGCUGAUUUGACACAAAAUACUGACGUCAGUAAAAGUCAUAUAACACUGAGGAUUCACCGCUAAAACAAAGACUUUAACACAAACUUAUAAUGGUUAUAAGAGGAUUCACCGCUAAAACAAAGACUUUAACACAAACUUAUAAUGGCCAAAUCAAAGAAUACUUAAGAUUAAUCCUAACAGGAAAACAUAAAAUGCCCUAAAAUCUUACAGCUCAUUUUGGAUAGAGGUUUUAACAACAGUCCUAAAGUUUUACAUAAUAAUGAGUCAUGUAGUUAAAAGACACUCUUUUAAAAUAUCAUAAGAAACAAAUUUCAGCCAGGCACAGUGGCUCACACCUGUAAUCCCAGGACUUUGGGAGGCCAAGGCAGGCGGAUCACCUCAGGUUGGGAGUUUGAGACCAGCCUGACCAACAUGGAGAAACUCCAUCUCUACUAAAAAUACAAAAUUAGCCAGGCGUGGUGGUGCAUGCCUGUAAUCCCAGCUGAGGGAAGCUGAGGCAGGAUAAUCACUUGAGCCUGCAGGGCGGAGGUUGCAGUGAGCCAAGAUGGCACCAUUGCACUCCAGCCUGGGCAACAAGAGCAAAACUCUGUCUCAAAAAUGGAAACAAACAAACAAAAAACAAAUUUCAAGCAACCAUGCUGGAGGACAGAUGAAUUAUCUUUCUACUCUUUCCUAAGAAAAUGAAAUUUAGGCUGGGCAUGGUGGCUCCUGCCUGUCCUCCCAUCACUUUGGGAGGCCAAGGUGGGAGGAUUGCUUGAGCUAGAAGUUUGAGACCACCUUGGGUAACCUAGUGAGACCUCAUCUCUACUAAAAGUAAAAUUAAAUAAAUUAGCUGGGUAUGGUGGCACACACCUGUAGUCCCAGCUACUCAAGAGGCUGAGAAAAGAGGAUCACUGAGCCCAAGAGUUUGAGGUUCCAGUGAGCUAUGAAAAACAAAAAAGAUAUUUUAAAUUGUCAUAUGAAGAGAUGAAGACUAUAUAGCCAAAAAAUGUAGCAAAAAGUAUUAUAUUGUGUUAAUAAGUUAAUUCAUAAAAAAUAUAUUUUGGGCUGGGUGCAGUGGCUCACACCUGUAAUCCCAGCACUUUGGUAGGCUGAGGUGGGAGGAUUGCUUGAGCCCAGGAGUUCGAGACCAGCCUGGUCAACAGAGUGAGACCCUGUCUCAUUAAAAAAAAAUUACAUAUAUAUAUAUACACACACACACACAUACACACACACACACACACACACAGUAAUAAAUAUAUAUAAUUAUAGUUAUUUUCCUAAACUUGGUGAUAUUUUUUGCAAGUUUUUGUAAAAUUGAAAUUUAUUGUGGUUUUUUCUUGGAUGCUAAAUAAAUAUCCAUUUUCUUUUCUUUUUUUUUGAGACAGAGUCUUGCUCUGUCGCCCAGGCUGGGAUACAGUGGUGCAAUCAUAGCUCACUGCAGCCUGGGAGAUCUGCACUGUAGAUCUCUCAGGCUCAAGGGAUCCUCCUGCCCUAGCCUCCUUAAUUGCUGAGACUAUAGGGAUAUACCACUAUACUUGACCAAUUUCUUUGCUUUUUAUUUGAGACGGGCUCUCUCUGCAUUGCCCAGACUGGUCUCAAACUCCUAGGCUUAAGCAAUCUUCCCCCUUCAGCCUCCCAAAGUGCCAGGAUUACAGGUGUGAGCCACUGUGUCCAGAUAAAUAUUCAUUUUGGGCCGGGCAUGGUGGCUCACAUCUGUAAUCUCAGCACUUUGGGAGGCCGUGGCAGGCAGAUCAUCUGAGAUCAGGAGUUUGAGAUCAGCCUGCCCAAAAUGGUCAUACCCUGUCUCUACUAAAAAUACAGAAAUUAGCUGGGCAUGGUGGACCUGUAAUCCCAGCUACUUGGGAGGCUGAGGCAGGAGAAUCACUUGAACCCAGGAGGCAGAGGUUUUAGUGAGCUGAGAUUGUGCCAUUGCACUCCAGCCUGGGCAACAGAGUGAGACUCUGUCUUAAAAAAAAAAUUUUUUUUUUUUGGCCGGGCACAGUGGCUCAUGCCUGUAAUCCUAGCACUUUGGGAGGCCGAGGUGGGUGGAUCACGUGAGGUCAGGAGUUCAAGACCAGCCUGGCCAUCAUGGUGAAACCCCAUCUUUGAAAAAAAAAUUUUUUUUAAUAAAUAAAAAUUAAAAUAGUUGUAAUAUUCUUUUAUUUUUUUGUAAAGAGGCUCCUCCCUCCAUAAAUUGUGUAACUUCCAGGCCUCACAAAGCCUAAAUCCUUCCCUAGGUACAAGAUGUAUGGUUUGUUGCUAAAGAAGAGAUUUGGAUUUUAUUCUAUGUAUGAUGGGAAGCUAUUAAAAGGUUCUGAUUAGAUGAGUGACAAGCUGAUUUAUGACAUUUUAAAAAGAUGACUCUGGCUGCCAGGUUACCUACAAUAACACAGCAUUAGUGGGGGAGAUGGAGAGAAGGAGUUGUGUCCAUGUGUGUGGUAACAAGGAGUGAGGGGUUCCCACAGCUAUGCAACAGCCAGAGUCUCUGGAGAAAAAGCCAGGACAGGUAUUCAGAGCAGGAGGAGACAAGCCCCAGAAGUAAGCACUGGGCACAGGUUAGCUAUGAUGGUCAUGAUGACCACUUACCAUCCAGCUAACAUAUACUGAAUGCUUACUUCUGGAAAAUAGCCCUGGGUGGGUUCAGAAAUAUUGAAGAAGAGAUUGAAUUUCCAGUUGAAUGGGGGCUCAAGUUAAGGAAAUUGAUCUGAGAAGGCUGGGAGACUUAGGGACACUGGGACACAUGAUUGGCAGGGAGAGAAUAAAAAGACACAGAGGGAGCAAACACAGGACAUGCAAAGGUAAAGGGACAAGUGAGACAUUAGAUGGGCCGAAACACAGGACACAACAGUAGUAACAGCUAACACUUCCACAGUUCACCUGGUGCCAUUGCUGGGUUUUGCAUGUGUUAGCCAUUUUAUUUUAUCUUAUUUAUUGAGGCAGAGUCUCACUCUGUUGCCCAGGCUGGAGUGCAAUGGCGUGAUUGCAGCUCACCGCAACCUCUGCCUCCUGGUUUCAGGUGAUUCUCCUGCCUCAGUCUCCCCAGUAGCUGGGAUUACAGGCAUGCACCACCAUGCUCAGUGAAUUUUUGUAAUUUUAGUAGAGACAGGGUUUCACCAGGUUGGCCAAGUUGGUCUCAAACUGCUGACCUCAAAUGAUCCACUAACCUCGGCCUCCCAAAGUGAUGGGAUUACCGGCAUGAGCCAUGGUGCCUAGCCUAACCCAUUUAAUUUAGAAAGAGAAGCUGCAGCAGAUCAUGGUCUGCCCUAAGUAAAGAAACAUGGACAUAUUUUAUGGAUAGUGCAAGCCACUGAAGAUUUUUGAGCAGAUAUUAUUAGGAAAUAAAAGAGAGUAAUCAAGAUUGCUUAACUAGGGGAGCCUAAAGACCUCCUGAAAUUUUGAGCAAAUAUUUGUGUGAUGCUUCUUUUCUUUGGGAGAGUCCAUACCACCCAUCCAACCUCAAAGGUGUCUGAGAUUUCAAAAAAGGCUAAGGAAGGCUGGGUAUGGUGGCUGGCACUUGUAAUCCCAGCAUUUUGGAAGGCUGAGGUGGGUGGACUGUUUGAGUUCAGAAGUUCAAGGCCAGCCUGGGCAAAAUGUCGAAACUCCAUUUCUGCAAAACAUACAAAAAUUAGCCAGGUGUGGUAGCAUGUAUCUGUAGUCCCAGCUACUUGGGAAGCUGAGAUGGGAGGAUGGCUUAAGCCCGGGAGGUAGAGGUUGCAGUGAGCUGAGACUGUACCACUGCACACCAGCCUAGGUGAUAGAGGCAGAUCUUGUCGAAAAAAAAUAAAAGGUUAAGGAUCAGGGACUUAGCAGUUUUAACCCUAGAUGACCAAUAGUAUGGUAUUGUCAUGAGUGAAAGUAGGGAUCCCAGGUAAGACAAGGAGGCAGUGUUGGCUGGAAGAGCAGAGAAAUGGUCAUUUCCCUCUGAGAUAUGUUGAUUUCACAGUGUUACAGGUGGAUCUCCAGUGGGCAGUAGAGAUUUGGAACCCAGCUCUCCAAGAUAGGGCGAGGCUGCUGCCACAGGCAGGGGAAUGAUCCUCUAUCACAAGCUCGAGUUUGAAUGACAUUGUCAAGGAAAAUCAGAAAAGAAGGCCAAGGACAGAUCUUUGAACAUUAUUUGAUCUGACUGCCUUGCCUUUUCCUAAGUGCUUUCGCACAGAUUUUUUCUCUACACGAGAAAUUCACAUUUUGAACUUUAGUUCCUAAAAUACAUUAAAUCAUACGUGGCUUCUAAGACGGGGCAGGAGGGGAUGCACAUAAUGACUGCUUAUGUGGCUUCUCAUCUGAGGAAAUUAUCUCUUCAAAAUGAUCGGGUGCUCCUGACCCUAUUCUUAAGAGUGUGGGCAUUUUUGAGCUAAUUUUGGAAGUGCAAGGAUAAUUGUUAGCACUCAGACCUAGUUCUACCCCAGUGUUAAAAAUCUCAGGAACCGGCUGUGAGCAUGGUAGCUCAUGCCUGUAAUACCAGCACUUUGGGAGGCUGAGACAAAAGGAUCAUUUGAGUCUAGGAGUUCAAGGCCAGCCUAGGAAAUAUGGCGAAACCCCAUCUUUACAAAAAAUACAAAAAUUAGCUGGGCAUAGUGGUGCAUGCAUGCCUGUGGUCUCAGCUACUGGGGAGGCUGAGGUAUCAGAAUCACUUGAACCUGGGAUGCAGAGGUUGCAGUGAACUGAAAUUGCACCAGUGUCUUCCAGCCUGGGCAACAGAGCAAGACACUGUCUCAAAAAAAAAAAAAAAAAAAAAAAGAAAAAAGUGGAAGGCAGGGUGCGGUGGCUCACGCCUGUAAUCCCAGCACUUUGGGAGGCCGAGGUAGGUGGAUCAUCUGAUGUCAGGAGUUCGGGACCAGCCUGGCCAACAUGGUGAAAUCCUGUCUCUACUAAAAAAAAAAAAAAAUAGCUGGGCAUGGUGGCAGGUGCCUGUAAUCCUCAGUUACUUGGAAGGCUGAAGCAGGAGAAUUGCUUGAAUCUGGGAGGUGGAGGUUGCAGUGAGCUGAGAUUGCGCCAUUGCACUCCAGCCUGGAUGACAAGAGCGAAAUUCUGUCUCAAAAAAAAAAAAAAUAUAUCAGGAGCCCACAGAAUCCCCGCUUUCCUUGAGGAGGAAAGAAAAGAUAUCUACACAUGGCAAGAAAGUGCUUAAAAUAUUAAGGUAGGCCAGGCAUGGUGGCUCACGCCUGUAAUCCCAGCACUUUGGGAAGCCGAGGCAGGUGGACAACCUGAAGUCAGGAGUUCAAGACCAGCCUGGCCAGCAUGGUGAAACCUCAUUUCUACUAAAAAUAUAAAAAUUAGCCAGGUGUGGUGGUGCGCACCUGUAAUCCCAGCUACUUGGAAGGCUGAGGCAGGAGAAUUGCUUGAACCAGGGAGGCAGAGGUUGCAGUGACACUACACUCCAGCCUGGAUGACAGCAUGAGACUCCCUCUCAAAAAAAAAAAAAAUUAAGGUAGACUGCACAUUGAUAGCUCCUAUCCUGGAUCAAUGGUUAUAACCCAAGAACACUCACCCAAACAAGAGCCAUCAUUUUCCCAAGAGGCUGUUUAAUUUUGUCUGGCUACAUUAUUUCAGUAUGAAAGAAGCAGCAGUUUUAGUCUGUCAUACCCAGAAACUACCUGAUAGCCAAUAUAAUGAAACUCUGUGGAGGCAGUAAAAUGCUGAGUGCCGAACACUUACUUUGCUUUUUAGAGACAGAGUCUUGCUCUGUUGCCCAGGUUGGAGUGCAGUGGUGCAACCAUGGCUCUCUGUAUCCUCAAACUCCUGGGCUCAAGAGAUCCUUUCACCUCAGUCUCCUGAGUUGAGUAGCUGGGACUACAGGCAUGAGCCACUACACGCAGCUUUGAAUGCUUAGUUUGUUACCAGGCCCUGAGUUAAGGCCACAUAUUGGCUGGGCACGGUGGCUCAUGCCUGUAACCCCAGCCCUUUGGGAGGCAGAGGCAGGUGGAUUGAGUACAAGAGUUCAAGACCAGCCUGGGCAACAUGGCAAAAUCCCGUUUCUGCAAAAACAAACAUUAGUCAGGCGUGGUGGAACAUGCCUGUAAUCCCGGCUACUUGGGAGGCUCAGGUGGGAGAAUUACUUGAACCCAGAGGUUGUAGUGAGCUAAGAUGGCACCACUGCACUCCAGCCUGGGUGACAAAGUGAGACCUCAUCUCCAAUAAUUAAAAAAAAAUUUUUUAAAAAGAAAAACAGGCUAUAUAUUAACGACUCAUUGAAUCCUCAUAAAAAUCCCAUCGGAUGAGUUUGUUAAAGGUGUUAUUUUAUGGAUGCAGAAAUGGAGGCUUAGUGAGCAAAGUUUGUCUUCUAACCAUCCCCAGACUGUUCCUGCUUUAUUCUGGGCGAGACUCAUCUGCAGACCUGCCUAUGGCCAUGUCCAGCCCCAUGGGCCUGGGCCAUCCACAUAAGGGGCAGUAGAAAUGGAACCAAGAGUAAACACCCUUAGAUCCACUAGGUUGCACUCUAACCCUGCACCUGUUCUGUGUUGCAGCCUGCUUCCACCCAGCUCUGAAUCUGCCCGGCUGGCUCUAAAUUCCUACUUCCAAGCAUUUCAAGCCCUGUACUUCAAACCCUGCUGGCUUCUAUUAGGGUUUGGCCCCACCACCUGCAGAGGUUGGGGCAGAGCUAAACUAACAAGGACUUGGAUUAGCUGCACCCUGUGAGGCAAGGCCUGUUCUUUUUUUUUUUUUUUUUUGAGAUGGAGUUUCACUCUUUGGCCCAGGCUGAAGUGAAGUGGUGUGAUCUCAGCUCACUGCGACCUCUGCACAACCCUCCUUCCCGCCCACUUUCAGUUGAUUCUCCUGCCUCAGCCUCCUGAGUAGCUAGGAUUAUAGGCGCCGGCCACCACGCCUAGCUAAUUUUUGUAUUUUUAGUAGAGACGGGGUUUCACCAUGUUGGCCAGGCUAGUCUCAAACUCCUGACCUCAGGUGAUCCACCUGCCUCGGCCUCCCAAAGUGCCAGGAUUACAGGCACGAGCCACCAUGCCCAGCUGGAGGCAAGGCCAGUUCUAAGAGGAACAUGCUCAACUUGGAGGAAGUCUCCUCUGGCUGGCAGAACAAAUACUGGCAGGAAAAGGAUACCAAGUUCCUAGUAAGUGCUGGAACUAGAUGGAACUAGAUUGCCAAAGUCGACAGGUAGAGGGCCAGGACUAGAGGUCACAGGGCAAAAGGCACAACGUAGAAUAUCAGAGGCUUUCUGGUAACAAGGUAGCACAGGGGUGAAAAAUUCAAAAAGGGUCAAUAUUUAAGAAUCAGGAUAAAUGUCAUGGGGUAGACUUUCUCCUCUUUUUCCCUUAUUAUGGGUUGAAUUGUGAGUCUUCCUCAAAUUCUUAUGUUGAAGACCUAAGGCCCAGUACCCCAGAAUGUGAUCUCAUUUGCAAACAGGUUUGUUACAGAUGUAAGUAGUUAAGAUGAUGUCAUUCAGAUGGGCUUUAAUCUGGUAUGACUGGUGUACCUAUAAGAAGGGACAUUUGGGCCAGCCAGAUGCAGUAGCUUAUGCCUGUAAUCCCAGCACUUUGGGAGGCUGAGGAGGGCGGAUUACUUGAGCCCAGCCUGGCCAACAUGGUGAAACCCUGACUCUACCAAAAAUACAAAAAUUAGCCAGUCUCAUAACCUAGUCUCAAAAGGAUACUUUUUUUUAAAAGGGAAAUUUAGAAACAGAGAUGCACACACAGGGAGGAUGUCAUGUGAAAAUGAAGGUGAGAUCAGGGUGGUGCUUCUACAUGCUGAGGAAUGCCAAAGAUUGCCAGCGAGCCACCAGAACCGAGGGGAGAGGCAUGGAACGGUUGCCAUCUCACAGCUCUCUGAAGGAACAAACCCCGCUGACACCUUGACUUUGGACUUCCAGCCUCUAAAAUGUGAGACAAUACACUUCCAUUGUUGAAGACACCCAAUUUGUGGUAUUUUCUUACAACAGACCUAGAAAACAAAUGCACCUCUUUUCUCUGAAACAGUAGGCCUGUUCUAGUCUGCCUCUGGCCAAUCUAAUCCUGGUUUCCUGAACCUGGGCUUCAGAGGAGGCAGAUAUGCAGAAAGCUUUUCAAUAAAAAUGGCUCCAGCAGAGCUCAUGGGUAUGCAGAGCCCAUUGGAAAUCGGCAGGCAGAGUGGCAUGGGGACCUUCAACUCCACCUUGCACAGUGAGGAUACUCUGUGUCCUGUGUGCAAGUGGCUUAAGGGAGAGGGUUCCCAAUGGAGAACUGGGUACUAACUCCUUGAGGGAUGAAAAUAUUUAACCUCAAGUCUAGAGCAUGGAUUUUGCUUAACGUGACUCAUAAAAAUCUUUGUUCUCAGCCUCUCUCCCCAUCAUCAUUCAGGCUGUUACCAGCUUGCCUUUAGUUAUCUGACAAAGGCAGCCGGUUUCCAUGGUUACCUACAAGCAAGCAGCAAGGUGCGAUUCCUAGAAGGCCCCCUGAUUAAGCAAAUAGCGAGACAGGGGGCCUCUGGCACAAUGAAAAUAACCUGGAUCCAAUGAUCAGAAUGGGCUACUGGAGGCAACUGGAUUUCAGGAGCAAGUUGGAAGCCAUACCCAGUUAUCAUAGCUGGGCAUGGAGCAAGAGGCAGAACAGCAAACCCAGUUACUACUACUGCCUGCUGGACACUGAGCCCGCCCUACGAAGCAGGUGCUACAGCAAGUACUUCAUGUGCCUUAUGUCCUUUGGCCCUUACCUACUUACCAAAGCUUUCAGUUUUAUAGAUGAAGGAACUCAUGGGACAUGUUCAAGAUCACACGGCUGGUAGGUAACAAGGAUUUGAAACCCAGGUGCUUAAAAGCUUCCAUUUAUCCCUCCAGCUGAGCUUGCUGUCCUUCUCCACCCCAAAGGCUGACAUCAUGGGCUGCACCAACAGCCUCCCUUUCUAUGCUGGCACCAGUUGGGGCUGUUAGUGGAGAGUCUCACAGACAGGAGGGAAGGAAGGAGAGGGUGCUUUUGGCUUAUGGUGACACAAAGUGGCUUUCUCUACAGAAUUCUCUCCUUCUAUUUCCUUCUCUGUGUCUGAAUCUAGGGCCACUACUGCUCUAUCCCUUGCGGUUGUCCAGUACCCUCUCUUUUGUAGAAAGCCUCUUUAUAAUAAGUCAUCCUUGACUUACGCUCAUUUUUUUUUUUUUUUUUUGAGACGGAGUCUCACUCUGUCGCCAGGCUGAAUGGAGUGCAGUGGCGCUAUCUCAGCUCACUGCAACCUCUACCUCCUGGGUCCAAGCAAUUCUCCUGCCUCAGCCGCCCGAGUAGCUGGGACUACAGGCACACACCACCAUGCCCAGCUAAUUUUUGUAUUUUUAUUAGAGACAGGGUUUCACCAUGUUGGCCAGGCUGGUCUUGGUCUCCUGACCUUGUGAUCCACCUGCCUUGACCUCCCAAAGUGCUGGGAUUACAGGCAUGAGCCACCAUGCCCUGCCGACUUAUGGUCUUUCUAGUAAGACUCUGACUGCUAUACCAGGUCUGUCUACUGCUGAAGGAGUUAGCCUGAACUCCUGUCCCAUUCUUCUCCCUGUAUCCAGCCAGCAUGGUGGUGGUUUAAGUCCCAGACCAUUGGAUCCGCACUCCUUAAAUGCCUGCAAUCUAAGGCCAGCAUUGGUCUCUGAGACUUGGAGCUGCAGGAAAGUGCUGCUACAGCUGAGGUGGGUAGUCUGUGGUUACAGGUGUGGGGAGAGGGCGCGGCAGAGUGUAGAGAGCUAAGCAGGGUCUGACACUCACCUACAGGAACCUUCCAUUCCCACGUGGUCCUUCUGUUCUGGCAGCUCCCUGCGCUGUGCUGAGCUGCUGCAUUGGAGUUCAGUUAACUGUUGAGCUGGAGCAGACAGUCCCGGCGAGCCUGCCUUCACUUCACACACCAGCCACAGUUUGUGGGUUUCCAGGACCACCUUCACUUCAGACUAUCUGGCUACAAACUCAGGGGGUUUCAAAACCACCCUCAGAAUGAUUCACAGAACUCAGGAAGUGCUAUACUUAUAGUUACAGUUUUAUUAUAGCAAGAAAUAUAAACUAAAAUCAGCCAAGGGAAGAGAUGCAAGAGCAGAUGUCAAACGAUAUCCAGUUGAGGAGCUUCUGCUCAUCAUCUCCCAAUGGAAUCAUGGAGUCUUGACCAUGGUGUGUGAUCAUACACAGUACAAAUGCCCUUUGACUUACAAUGGAAUUACCUCUUGAUGAACCCAUUGAAAAUAUUGUAAAUCGGCUGGGUGCGGUGGCUCACGCCUGUAACCCCAGUACUUUGGGAGGUCGAGGCGGGCGGAUCAGGAGAUCGGAAGUUCAAGACCAGCCUGGCCAACAUGGUGAAACCUGUCUCUACUAAAAAUACAAAAAUUAGCUGGGCAUCUGUAAUUCCAGCUACUUGGGAGGCUGAGGCAGGAGAAUCGCUUGAACCCAGGAGGUGGAGGUUGCAGUGAAGCAAGAUUGUACCACUGUACUCCAGCCUGGGUGACGAAGCAAGACUCCAUCUCAACAACAAAAAAGAAAAUAUUGUAAAUUGAAAAUGCAUUUAAUACAUCUAACCUACCAAACAUCACAGCUUAGCCUAGCCUACCGUAAAUGUGUUCAGAACACUUAUGUUAGCCUAUAUUUGGGCAAAAUCAUCUAAAAUAGUAAGGCCUAUUUUGUAAUAAGGUGGCGAAUAUCUCAUGCGAUUUAUUGAAUAUUGUAUAUUACAUAGAAAUUGUGACAGUUUUGAACCAUCAUAAAGUCAAAAAUCUAAGUCAAACCAUCCUAAGUCACGAGACCUUCUGUAUUGCCAACAUAGAAAGGUCACCUAAGCCUUUGGUGUUCAGACUUUAUGGGAGUUAAUUACAAUGAAUUUUGGUAUCUAGCCCUUUCCAGAAGUCAGAACUGAUAUGACAUGACCCAAAGUCUUCAUUGUAAGUCACACUGUUAGACUACCCAAUGGCCAAAGCCUGCAGGCAAACAAAAACAGUCCUAUCAGGCAGGACAUUCCAGGGGUCUAGAGAUCACCUCUUGGUAGCCAAGGACAAAGGCCAGACCUCUUUGGGGCAGGUUGAUUCUUCAUUACACAAACUACUUUGCUCCUUAGGCAUCUAUCAGACCUUUCUGCUUGGUUGUAUUCCUGGUGUUUGUCUUGCUUGGCCAGCCCAGUGCUGUUCUCAUCUGUGCCCAUCGUAGUGUGGGAUGGUGCUCAGGGAGAUACUUGAUUUAGUAUAUGGUGAGCUUAGCAGAUCUUACUCAUUGCAAGAUUCACCACUGCAACCAUUAUCCCUGCUAUUGUGGUGGUAAAUUUCAUGUCUUUGUUCCAUUGUUGGGAAGGGACAUCUGCUUUACAAAAGAGUUCUCUUUGUGGUGCUAGGGGAAGAGUUUACAGUCUCCUUCCAAAUGCCCUUGCACAAAUUAACUUGUGCUUUGAGGCCAUUAUUAGUAAAAUAAAGAUUACUUGAACACAAGCACUGUGGUAUCAUGACAGUUGAUCUGAUAACCAAUAACCAACAGGGCUACUAAGUGACUAACAGGGUGGGGAGCAUAUCAGCCUGGAUAUGCUGGACCAACUGAUGAUUCAUGUCCCAGGUGGGGUAGGGCAGGACAGCACAAACUUUCAUCAUGCUACUCAGAGUGACAGAAUUUAAAACUUCUGAUGCAUUAUUUCUGGAAUUUUCCAUUUAAUAUUUUCAGACCCCUGUUGACCAUGAGGAACUAAAAUUUGGGAAAACAAAACCAUGAAUAAGUGGGGGGACUGUUGUCCCUGUCUGCUUCCUGCUCUAGACUUGGGCCUCUUAAAGGCAGCAGAUGUGUCUUAUUCAUCUUCAAUACCUCCAGUGCCUACCAUGAGCUAGUCCCUCACAGGCAUUCUGUAAACCAACCUCUCUAGUUCACCUACUCAGGAAUACACUGCAUUGAAUUUCUCCAGAUGAGAGUUAGCAAAGGUGCCUCUGAAUGCACGCCAGCCUGGUCUUCAAUAACACAUUUUUAUUUGGAAGAGUUACUCUGUUUACAGAUGCUAUCUCUUCUAAUCCUCCAACCUGUGAGAUAGAUAGCCUUACCAUCCCCAUGAACAGAUGAUGAGAGAAAUUGAGACAAUUAUAGACAGCAAAUUUUCCAAGGUCAUCUAAUCCCUACGUGGCCCAGUGGGGACAGAACCAGGUCUGUUGGAUUCCAGAGUUCCAAGUCCUUAAUCACUGUUCUCUAAUGGCCUGGGGUAGUCCAGUGAGAUCAAUGCAAUUGAUAGGCCAUUUCCAGUAGAGGAUUUAGUUUGAAAUCAUGCUUACGGUAGAGAAUGAGAUUAUAAAAUGAAGUGACUUUGAAUAAUAAAUGAAAGCUAGUGAUUGUGAUUGAGAAUGCACUAGAAGUAGAAAAAAAAAGAUCCUGGUUUUUAAGGCAGUAGGAAGCCAAUGUUAAGUCCAUCAGGUGAAAUUAGAUUAUCAUUAAAUCCACAUGUAAAAUACAAGCUGAAACAUUUGUGUGCUGUUUUUUCUGAUCUUAGAGUAAUCUUUACUUUGCAGCGCUCUUUUUUCUACAUUUUUCACAUUGCACAGAUAUUGUAGCCCUGUAUUUUAGGGUUAUUUCUUCUUCUUUCUUCUUUCUUCUUCUUCUUCUUCUUCUUCUUCUUCUUUUUGAGACAGGGUCUCAUUCUGUUGCCCAGGCCAGAGUGCAGUGGCUUGAUCACUGUUCACCACAGACUCAAUCUCUUGGGUUCAAUUGAUCCUCCUGCCUCAGCCUCCCAAGUAGCUGGGACUACAGGUAUGCACCACACCCAGCUAUUCUUUGUUUAGGAAUGAUGAGGUUUCACCAUGCUGCCCAGGCUGGCCUCAAACUCCUUUGCUUAAGUGAUCCGCUCACGCCACUGAGCCCAGCCUUUAAAUUAAUUUCUUUUUUCCUUUCUUUUUUUUGAGACGGAGUCUUCCUCUGUUGCCCAGGCUGGAGUGCAAUGGUGCAAUCUCAGCUCACUGCCAUCUUCACCUCCUAGGUUCAAGAGAUUCUCCUGCCUCAGCCUCCUGAGUAAUUUCCAUUUUUAUACAUGUACAGUCAUGUGUUGUAUAAUGAGCUUUGGGGCAGUGAGGAACCAUAUAUAUGACAGUGGCCUCAUAAGAUGAUAAUAUUGUAUUUUUACUGCAUUUUCCAUGUUUAGAUAUGUUUAGAUACACAAAUACUUACCAUUAUGUUAUGACUGCCUACAGUAUUCAGUACAGUAACCUAGGGGCAAUAGGCUAUACCAUAUACCUAUACCAGGAGCUUAUGUGUGUAGUGCGCUAUAGCAUCUAGGUUUGUGUAAGUAAACUUUAUGAUGUUCACACAAUAUUGAAAUCACCCAGUGACACAUUUGUCAGUACACCUCCCCAUCAUUAAGCAGUGCAUGACUGUACAUAAUAGUAUGAAAUAGUAGCACUGCCUUAAGAUUUCUAAUAAAAAAAAAAAUCAGCUCCCUGACUGAUCCCUAUAUACUUCUACUCUGUCAAGACAGUCACCUCAACUCUCAGCUGCUCCUUCUAACACAUGUAACCACUUUCUAAAUAAUAUGCUUUUAUUCAACUUUUUAGCUGAUUGAUUUUAGGUAUAAUCUAUUGAUUUCCCACCAUAAUAGGUGAGGGUUUCCCUUUUCCAUAUCACCUUUUUCACUUCCCUUUCUCCCACCUUCCCUAUGUAAGCAUGUUGACAUCUUAUAUCUCUUUUCCACCUGAGCAUAUUGACAUUUUAUGUUAUAUCCAAAGUCACUGUUUAUAUUAUUAUGGCCAAGCAAAUAUUGUUGACAACCCAAUCAAAUAGUAUUAAAUAGUAUUCCAUUUUCAACCACACAUCCUUUUUUGUAUUUUAAUUUUUAUUUCCUAUAUUUAAUUUUUGCUAUAUUAAAAAUUGUUGGCCGGGUGUGGUGGCUCACGCCUGUAAUCCCAGCACUUUGGGAGGUUGAGGCCAGUAUAUCACAAGGUCAGGAGUUCGAGACCAGCCUGGCCAACAUGGUGAAACCCUGUCUCUACUAAAAUUACAAAAGUUAGCUAGGUGUGGUGGCCGGCACCUAUAAUCCUAGCUACUCGGGAGGCUGAGGCAGGAGAAUCACUUGAACCCAGGGGGGCGUGGGUUGCAGUGAGCCAAGACUGUGCAACUGCACUCUAGCCUGGGUGACAGAGUGAAACUCCGUCUCAAAAAAAAAAAAAAAAAGUCAUGUUUUUUCAUUUGACUAUUUGCCCACAAACCCAUCCAAUUUUUUCCUGAGCAUUUCAAUACCUCUGUCAGUUACAUAUCAAAAUGUCUCACAAAUAUUUACACAUGUAGUUUCCUUGAACUCUUCCAGAACCUUCCUUUGUUCUGUCUGGGCAGAGUGCUCUCAAGGGCUGCAUACAACUGACAGUCUGGGAAUUCCUA